UAAAUUUUUUAUGGUUUAAAAAAUUUAUAAUAAGUUUGUUUUACAUGUAAAUUUUAGUGUUAAUUUUUAAUUAUUUUAAAAAUAUUUAAGUAAGUUAUGUAGUAAUUAAUAUUAAAAAUUUAAGAAAUUAAGAUUUAGCAUUAUAAAAAUUAUUAACUAAUUUUGUGCCAGCAGUUGCGGUUAUACAAAAAAUAAGUUAAAUUUUUUUAGUAAUUAAUAGAUAAAUAUUUAUAUAUUAAUUAAAAAUUUAAAUUAUUAAGUGAAAUUUUAAUUUAGUAAAAAUUUAUAAUAAAUUUAUGAUAUUAAUAAAUUUUAAUAAAAACUAGGAUUAGAUACCCUAUUAUUAAAAAUUUAAAUUAAGAAUACUAAAAUAGUAGGUAAUUAUUUAUUGAAACUUAAAUAAUUUGGCGGUAUUUUAGUUUCUUUAGAGGAAUCUGUUUAUUAAUUGAUAAUCCACGAAUUAAUUUACUUAAUUUAAAAGUUUAUAUAUCGUUGUUUUAAAAAUAUUUUUUAAUAAAAAUAAUAUUUAAAAAUUUAAAUUUAAAAUUAAAUCAGAUCAAGAUGUAGUUUAUAAUUAAGUAUAUAAUGGAUUACAAUAAAUUUAUUUAUAUGAAUUUUAAUUUGUAAUAAUUAAAUGAAAGUGGAUUUAAAUGUAAUUUUUUUUAAAUUGAUAAAAUGAUUAAAAAUUAAAAUAUGUACAUAUUGCCCGUCGCUUUCAUUUAAAAAUUGGAAUAAGUCGUAACAAAGUAGGGGUACUGGAAAGUGUUCCUAGAAAGU
rnacentral:rRNA from 1 species